GGGGAAUAUUGGACAAUGGGCGCAAGCCUGAUCCAGCCAUGCCGCGUGGGUGAAGAAGGCCUUCGGGUUGUAAAGCCCUUUUGUUGGGAAAGAAAAAAAGACGGUACCCAAGAAGAAAGUCCCGGCUAACUACGUGCCAGCAGCCGCGGUAAUACGUAGGGGACAAGCGUUGUCCGGAUUUACUGGGCGUAAAGGGCACGCAGGCGGUUUUUUAAGUCAGAUGUGAAAGGUACCGGCUCAACCGGUGACAUGCAUUUGAAACUGAAAGACUUGAGUAUUGGAGAGGCAAGUGGAAUUCCUAGUGUAGCGGUGAAAUGCGUAGAUAUUAGGAGGAACACCGGUGGCGAAGGCGGCUUGCUGGACAAAUACUGACGCUGAGGUGCGAAAGCGUGGGGAGCAAACA
rnacentral:rRNA from 1 species